rnacentral:piRNA from 1 species
AUGGAUAUUUUUUAACUUGGAGAGA